UUCUACACAAGAGCAAUACUGAUUAGCCAGGACAGAAAAGAGAAAACCAGCGCGCACACAGACACACGCACAAGCGCCACACACAUGAAUUAAAUAGAAAUGAAACUUUUCGAUCAAUUAUAUUUAAAGGUGUCUAUUUCUAAAACUUUUCAAACCAUUAAACUGUAACAAAGCACGGUGUGGUAACAGAAACGAUUCAAAUUGACUUCAAUUUAAACAAAUUUCUUUACUGUAGUUACAGCAAAUGUGUGUGCGCUGUUUUCAAACUGAUUGAACUAUUUUUCAAAUUGAGAAUCAUUGCCCAACACCUGAAUUUAUCGACUUGAUUCAUCAACAGUGAAGACAGGACUAUGGAGUGAAAAUUCCGUGAAGAGGUGAAAUUCACCGAUUGCUCUCGUUCAACCAUCGCAUGGUUUCGCACUUGCACUUCGUGCUUCACUCACUAACACAGUUACACCGCAGAGAAUAUCGAAUGUUCAUCGCUUUUCCUGAUUUCGCUCAACUUGCGGAGCAACACUUAGUUAUUUGUUCAAUUUUAGGAUAAUCGAAGGUGUUGGGUUUGACUCGAAAGAUGGCAACGUGUUUGUCCUUAUCAGUACGCUUAAGAUUUAACAGGUGCUA